ACACGACUACAUUAGAUACCCGUGUAGUCCUAGCCGUAAGCGAUACUCGCUAGGUGUCGGCCACGGUGCGACCGUUGUCGGUGCCGUAGGGAAGCCGUGAAGCGAGCCACCUGGGAAGUACGGCCGCAAGGCUGAAACUUAAAGGAAUUGGCGGGGGAGCACCACAACGGGUGGAGCUUGCGGUUUAAUUGGAUUCAACGCCGGAAAUCUUACCGGGACCGACAGCAACAUGAAGGCCAGGCUGAAGACUUCGCCGGAUUAGCUG
rnacentral:rRNA from 1 species